GCACUUUUUUAGGUUGACACAGUGUUUUCAGAGACUAUCACAGAAAAGUAAAGUCAUUCUCCAUAAAGAUGUUAAAACUCCUCUCUGGAUCCUGUUUGGAGUCACAGCU
rnacentral:snoRNA from 1 species